CUUAUUAAGAGUGGCAGAGGGAAAUGGCCCUGUGAAGUCCGGCAACCUGCAUAAGUAAGGUGCUAAAUCCAUCGGUAAGAAACCGGGAGAUAAG
rnacentral:ncRNA from 1 species